AGUGAACGCUGGCGGUAGGCCUAACACAUGCGAGUCGAACGGCAGCACAGUAAGAGCUUGCUCUUACGGGUGGCGAGUGGCGGACGGGUGAGGAAUACAUCGGAAUCUACUUUUUCGUGGGGGAUAACGUAGGGAAACUUACGCUAAUACCUCAUACGACCUACGGGUGAAAGCAGGGGAUCUUCGGACCUUGCGCGAUUGAAUGAGCCGAUGUCGGAUUAGCUAGUUGGCGGGGUAAAGGCCCACCAAGGCGACGAUCCGUAGCUGGUCUGAGAGGAUGAUCAGCCACACUGGAACUGAGACACGGUCCAGACUCCUACGGGAGGCAGCAGUGGGGAAUAUUGGACAAUGGGCGCAAGCCUGAUCCAGCCAUACCGCGUGGGUGAAGAAGGCCUUCGGGUUGUAAAGCCCUUUUGUUGGGAAAGAAAAGCAGCAGGUUAAUACCCCGCUGUUCUGACGGUACCCAAAGAAUAAGCACCGGCUAACUUCGUG
rnacentral:rRNA from 1 species